AGACAGCCCCAGAAAGCUGGAGGCAGAACCCAGAAAGCUACAAAUACUGCAGAAUCUACGGGCGGGUGGGUCGACGCUGUGGCCCUCAGAGGUCCAGAAGCCUAACUGAGCUCCUGCUCCCACAGCUUGCCUGUCAUCAGCUGCAACUGCUCUGCCUACAGGUGCAACUGAGCUAAAGUUAGAGAAAAUUUUAGGAUUCUCCAAGCCAGGGAUCUCCAACACUGUCACAUAUUAAUGAAUCACUUGCAUUAAAUGAAGAUGUCCAGGCUGCACCCAAGGCCCAAAACCCCAGAAUCUCUGUGCUUGGAGUUUGGGCGUCAACAUUUUGCAAAGCUUGCCAGGUGAUUCUGGCAUGUGGACAAGGCUGAGGCACAUGGCUUUGCAGAGAAGAACCAAAAUUGCCAUCAAGGUGCAAUUUUCAGGACAUCAGUUCUUCUGGCAGGUCCUGCUCACAUCACCUUUUAUGUGCCUCUUUGGUCCACCAUUCUGCCUCCGUCCUUGUCCAGGGCCAGGUGCUGUCCCCCAGGCUGCAGCAGGGGCUUCCUCUUUGGUUUUGUGCUCUGCUCUGCUGACCUUCUGUGACCGCCCCAUCUCAUCCUCACAUCUGUCUUCCCAAAGAAGUCUGCAGAGCUGCGCCUGGGAGCUAGGGCAGCAACAUGAUUUAGCAACACAGAAAAUAAGAUUUCUGCCAAGAGCCACACCACCCUGAUCAUGCCGCAUCUCAGCAGAUCUCAGAAGCUCAGCGGGGUCUGGCCAGGCUUGUGCUGCUUUGACAGUGACUCUGUGUAUAGCCUGGACCAGAUGAAGCCCAGUUUCUAUUUGGGUUACACACACACAGGUGCAUGCACACACACUAUAGAAGUGUAUCUCAGAAAUGUACUCUUAAGGGGACAACGGAAAUGAUUCAUUGCACCAUGGAAAUGUAUUCAUUCAUCUGUUAAGCAGCCGUGUCUAUCUCACCGAUGGAUUAAGGUCCAGUUUUAUUCUGUAUGCUGACUCCUUCAUUCCCUCCUCCUUGGCAAAGCAUUUUACUUCAGCUAGCUUCAAAGGGUGUCACACCCAGGCUAAAGAAGUAAGUCUCCUCUCUGCUUU
rnacentral:lncRNA from 1 species